rnacentral:rRNA from 1 species
UACAGAGGUCUCAAGCGUUGUUCGGAUUCAUUGGGCGUAAAGGGUGCGUAGGCGGCGCGGUAAGUCGGGUGUGAAAUCUCGGGGCUUAACUCCGAAACUGCAUUCGAUACUGCCGUGCUUGAGGACUGGAGAGGAGACUGGAAUUUACGGUGUAGCGGUGAAAUGCGUAGAUAUCGGAAGGAACACCAGUGGCGAAAGCGGCUUCCUGGUCCAGCACCGACGUCAGGCACGAAAGCGUGGGGGAGCAAACAGG